UUAAGCUAAUAAGAGCGCAGGGAGGAUGCCUUGGCAUCAGGAGCCGAUGAAGGACGCGGUAAGCUGCGAAAAGCUCCGGGGAGUGGCAAGCACACAUUGAUCCGGAGAUGUCCGAAUGGAGCAAUCCACAUGAGUGAAGCUCAUGUAUCAUAUACUGAAUAAAUAGGUAUAUGAGGGGAACCGUCUGAACUGAAACAUCUAAGUAGGACGAGGAAAAGAAAUCAACCGAGAUUCCGCUAGUAGUGGCGAGCGAACGCGGAAGAGGCUAAACCAGAGUCAGCAAUGACUUUGGGGUUUGGACUGCAUUUAGUAUCAAUGAGGUCUAGUCGAAGUACAUGGGAAGGUACAUCGAAGAGGGUGAGAAUCCCGUAGACGAAAGAUCAAGUUGGCGAGCAGUAUCCAGAGUACCGCCGGACACGUGAAACCCGGUGGGAACAUGGGGGGACCAUCCUCCAAGCCUAAAUACUACCUGAUGACCGAUAGCGCAUAGUACUGUGAAGGAAAGGUGAAAAGAACCCCGGGAGGGGAGUGAAAGAGAGCCUGAAACCCUGUGCUUACAAGCACACAGAGCACGUCAAAGUGUGAUGUGGUACCUAUUGUAGAAUGGUCCGGCGAGUUAUUUUAUGCAGCGAGGUUAAGGACUUAAGGUCUGUAGCCGAAGUGAAAGCGAGUGUUAAUAGCACGAAACAGUUGCAUGCAAUAGACCCGAAACCGGGUGACCUAUCCAUGUCCAGGCUGAAGUGAGGGUAAAACCUCAUGGAGGGCCGAACCGACUCCCGUUGAAAUGGUAGCGGAUGAGGUGUGGAUAGCGGAGAAAUUCCAAUCGAACCCGGAUAUAGCUGGUUCUCCCCGAAACCGUUUUAGGACGGGCCUCGUGUGAAGAUUAUCGGAGGUAAAGCACUGAAUAGCCUAGGGGGCGAGAGCCUACCGAAGCUUAUCAAACUCUGAAUGCCGAAUAAUCGUUUCACGGGAGUCAGACUGUGUGAGAUAAGUUUCAUAGUCAAAAGGGAAACAGCCCAGACCCACAGCUAAGGUCCCAAAGUGUAUUUAAGUGGAAAACGAUGUGAAGUUGCGUAGACAACCAGGAUGUUGGCUUAGAAGCAGCCACUCAUUAAAAGAGUGCGUAAUAGCUCACUGGUCGAGUGACUUUGCGCGGAAAAUUUAACGGGGCUAAAAUACACACCGAAGCUUGGGCUUGACGCUUUUGCGUCAGGGGUAGGGGAGCGUCGUGUAAGGGGCGAAGUCGUAUCGUAAGGGACGGUGGACUUUACACGAGUGAGAAUGCCGGAAUGAGUAGCGAGAAUUAUGUGAGAAUCAUAAUGGUCGAAAGCCUAAGGUUUUUGGAGGAAGGUUCGUCCGCUCCAAGUAAGCCGGGAGCUAAGGUCAGGCGGAAACGCGUAGCCGAUGCACAUACGGUUGAAAUUCCGUAGCCUCAGAAAGAUUUAAGCGAAGGGACACUUUGAAAGGACUGUUGCCGGGUGUUGGUUACCCCGGUCGUAAGGGAACGAAAUUAAGUAGUGAAGGCAGUCUGGACGGAGGCGAGAAAAGCUUCGUGUAUAUCUUAUGAGCCCGUACCGCAAACCGACACAGGUAGGUGGGAUGAGAAUUCUAAGACCAACGGGAGAAGGGUAGUUAAGGAACUCGGCAAAUUGUCCCCGUAACUUCGGAAUAAGGGGAGCCUGCGAAAGCAGGCCGCAGAGAAUUGGCCCAGGCGACUGUUUAUCAAAAACACAGCUCUAUGCUAAAUCGAAAGAUGACGUAUAUGGGGUGACACCUGCCCGGUGCUGGAAGGUUAAGAGGAGAUGUCAUCGCAAGAGAGCAUCGAAUUGAAGCCCCAGUAAACGGCGGCCGUAACUAUAACGGUCCUAAGGUAGCGAAAUUCCUUGUCAGGUAAGUUCUGACCCGCACGAAUGGUGUAACGAUCUGGGCACUGUCUCGACUACCCGCCCGGCGAAAUUGUAGUACCGGUGAAGAUGCCGGUUACCCGCGACUAGACGGAAAGACCCCAUGGAGCUUUACUGUAGCUUAAUAUUGGAUUUCGGCAGUUCAUGUACAGGAUAGGUGGGAGACUAUGAAACACGGGCGUCAGCUUGUGCGGAGUCGUCCUUGGGAUACCACUCUUGGAUUGCUGGAAUUCUAACCUGCGGCCCUGAAUCGGGUCGGGGGACAUUGUUAGGUGGGCAGUUUGACUGGGGCGGUCG
rnacentral:rRNA from 1 species